UUGUCUACAGCAUAUAAAUUCAAAACAGAUGGGGGAGAGACACAUCAGAUCAGAGGCGCUGUACUGCUCUGGACACCAAUUACGGUACACAAAAUGUGUCACAUGCCUUUUCACAGAGCUACUAGUGUGUGAUGUGACCUUGAAGACCAGAGAUAAAAAUGCUUCGAAUUCCGAGAGGCAGGCCCGAGGAUACUCUUUCCAGGAAGUGUGGGACCCACAGAAGCUGUCACUCUUAAAAACAGAUGUAAACGUCAUAAAUCUUUCCAGAGAGCAGAAAUUCUGAUGGUACCAAAUUGGGAUAACCUCUGCCAUUUUAACUCCUUCCUAUUCUUUCUUUUCAUAUUUGACCCCCUUUCCUUGUCAUUGCUCACAUUUCUGGCUAAUCUAGAAUGUUCUCUUGUCUUCUUAUACCUGACAGCACUAGUUCACUAAUGAACACUUUUACUUGGGCUUUUUAGACGGGUUUGGGGUUCUUAGCCACAUAACCUCCUUGCUGGUCUUGAUAUACAUUCCCAUGAUGUCAGCUCUGGGCCCUACGGGAGCAAAUCUCAACUUGUGACACCAGUGCAUCUGGGCUGCAGACUCUUUUACUUAAUUGCUUGCUUCAACACCUCUCUUUGCUCCCACAUCUUCCCACUUGACAUGUCACUCCAUAUCUCUGUGGUUAAGAAAUUUAAUUGCUGGAUUGAAACUAUGGAUUCAGUUUCAUGUAGAUGGAUUUGUGGAUUCAGUCAUUAUAAUAGUAAAAAGUAUUUAUUAAGUGUCUGUGCAUGGUGAUAUAUAAAAAGGGCUGACA
ensembl:lncRNA